GGACGAACGCUGGCGGCGUGCUUAACACAUGCAAGUCGAACGGUGAACCAGAGCUUGCUCUGGGGAUCAGUGGCGAACGGGUGAGUAACACGUGGGCAACCUGCCCCAGACUCUGGGAAUAACCUCGGGAAACCGAUGCUAAUACCGGAUACGACCACUUCGGACAUCCGACGGUGGUGGAAAGUUUUCGGUCUGGGAUGGGCCCGCGGCCUAUCAGCUAGUUGGUGGGGUAAUGGCCUACCAAGGCGACGACGGGUAGCCGGCCUGAGAGGGCGACCGGCCACACUGGAACUGAGACACGGUCCAGACUCCUACGGGAGGCAGCAGUGGGGAAUAUUGCACAAUGGGCGAAAGCCUGAUGCAGCGACGCCGCGUGAGGGACGACGGCCUUCGGGUUGUAAACCUCUUUCAGCAGGGACGAAGCGAAAGUGACUGUACCUGCAGAAGAAGCACCGGCUAACUACGUG
rnacentral:rRNA from 1 species